rnacentral:rRNA from 1 species
UACGGAGGAGGCAAGCGUUAUCCGGAAUUAUUGGGCGUAAAGAGCUCGUAGGCGGUCUGUCGCGUCUGCUGUGAAAAUCCAGGGCUCAACCCUGGACCUGCAGUGGGUACGGGCAGACUAGAGUGCGGUAGGGGAGAUCGGAAUUCCUGGUGUAGCGGUGAAAUGCGCAGAUAUCAGGAGGAACACCGGUGGCGAAGGCGGGUCUCUGGGCCGUAACUGACGCUGAGGAGCGAAAGCAUGGGGAGCGAACAGG